GGGGAUUUAGCUCAGUGGUAGAGCGCUUGCCUAGGAAGCGUAAGGCCCUGGGUUCGGUCCCCAGCUCCA
rfam:Rattus norvegicus chromosome 15, whole genome shotgun sequence.